CAUUUAUUGCGCAUGGCUACUGUAAACCUCCAGUUCACUCAACAAUCAAUGCGGAUCUCCGGCUUACUCCACAAGUAAUGCGGAUCUCCGGCUUACUCCACAAUUAAUGCGGAUCUCCGGCCUACUCUGCAAUUAAUGCGGAUCUCCGGCUUACUCCACAUUUAAUGCGUAUGGCUCCUGUCAUCUACGGACUCUCAGCUCUCCACGGCAAGUUAGCCCAGCAGAGUCUGGUCAACCAUGAUAAGUCUCUGAUCUCGGCCAUACCUCCGACA
rnacentral:lncRNA from 1 species